UGGGCUUCUACUCCGAUGGAACAAAAGUUGCUCAAAUAGAUCUGACGCUUUGUUUUCGAGCCCGAAAUACCCUGUGGCAGCAGCCGGAAGUGUGACCAAGUGUGGCAGGAAGUGUUCUGUAGAUGUGAAUCCCAUCGAUCCACCCCCUGCAAUGGGGAGUUGGGGAGGAGAGGACAAGACUAGAAAGGACUAGAUGGAGCAAAUGGAGUGGAUCCAGCUUCCCCUCUAAUCAACCAUGUUUCAGAAUCAGGAGUGACCAAGUUGGUCACUUGAGCUAUAAUGGAGACUAGAGAUGAGGUUAUGGGCAUUCUUCUGGAGGCACACAAGCAGGUAAGAAGGCCCAGCUACACGCUGUCCUUGGGAGCAACGAGUCCAGCUGGCCUGCCUGGAGUGACUACUCUCUCCUCCGUGCGCUGGAGCGCUGGAAGGUAUCAAGGACUGCUAAAGAAAACACCUCUGCCUUUCCCAACGCAGGCCCCGUGGAACAGGGAUAGACAAGGCUUCCAGCUGUGCCCUGCCUGUCCUCCCCCCGGGAGAGAUCCGACAGGUGGAUAGCGAGUGCAUUGUCGGGUCUUCGGGAGCUGAACUGGGCACCCGGAGGUCUCUCACUUCCUUCCCACCACCCCCGCAGGCUGAGCUCUGCCUCGCGUGGGGAGACGUGGGCAAUGCAGUUAGUCUGAGGGCCUGUAGCUCGCCCUGGGCUGAGAACCUCGAGCAGCCUCGGACAGGAACCCGCGGAGACGCCCCACCUAGCCUCGGGUGCACGCGCAGCAGGAAGGGCCGCGGAGGGGCCCGGACGGGGCCGGCACCCGCGAAGCUCGCCGGUCACCCCCGCUCCCCGCCCUUCCUCUGCCAGCCUCUGUGGCCAGAGGCCUGAGCCGGUGGCUAAU
ensembl:lncRNA